rnacentral:rRNA from 1 species
UAGGGGAUAUUGGUCAAUGGGCGAGAGCCUGAACCAGCCAUGCCGCGUGCAGGACGACGGCCUUCUGGGUUGUAAACUGCUUUUAUACAGGAAUAAAAAGGGCCUGCGGGCCUCAUUGCAUGUACUGUAUGAAUAAGCACCGGCUAACUCCGUGCCAGCAGCCGCGGUAAUACGGAGGGUGCAAGCGUUGUCCGGAUUUAUUGGGUUUAAAGGGUGCGUAGGCGGUUUAUUAAGUCAGUGGUGAAAGCCCACAGCUCAACUGUGGAAUUGCCAUUGAAACUGGUAGACUUGAGUACAGACGAGGUAGGCGGAAUUUAUGGUGUAGCGGUGAAAUGCAUAGAUACCAUAAAGAACCCCGAUAGCGAAGGCAGCUUACUAGGCUGUAACUGACGCUGAGGCACGAAAGCGUGGGGAGCGAACAGGAUUAGAUACCCGUGUAGUCC